CCAGCAGCUGCGUUAAUUCCGGCUCCAAUAGCGUAUAUUUAAGUUGUUGCAGUUAAAAAGCUCGUAGUUGGAUUUCGGGCGGGUGACGGCGGUCCGCCUCUGGUGUGCACUGCUGCUCAUCCGCCUUACUGUCGGGGACGGGCUCCUGGGCUUCACUGUCCGGGACCCGGGUUCGACAUGGUUACUUUGAGUAAAUUAGAGUGUUCAAAGCAGGCGUUCGCCCUGAAUACAUUAGCAUGGAAUAGCACGAUAGGACUCUGGCCUAUUCUGCUGGUCUGUAGGACCGGAGUAAUGAUUAAGAGGGACAGUCGGGGGCAUUCGUAUUUCAUUGUCAGAGGUGAAAUUCUUGGAUUUACGAAAGAUAAACUUCUGAGAAAGCAUUCGGCAAGGAUGUUUUCAUUGAUCAAG
rnacentral:rRNA from 1 species